UCUCUCUUUCUCUCUCUUUCUAGCAACUCAAAGGACAAAAUGAAGACCACGACAGAAGCACCAAAGAAACUGCAGGAAAAGAGAAGAAAAGGCCAGUCAAAAACCACGCACACAUUGCACACAUGGCCGUCCCUGGGGCAUUUACACUUGUCCACGUAGGCUUAAUCCCCUUGAGGGACCAGGGAAAAGGACCUCUCUGUAAACAGGGAUCAAGGUCCGCUCCUUGCCAAGAGAAACGCUUUAUGGGCCCAUUCCGCACCUGCGGCUGAGAGACCACCCUUUAAGAAGGGUUGAGGUCUCUGUGGAUUUCAGCUCUUUCGGACUUAGUCUUUAACAUGCCCUGUGCCACUGACCUCUCCCUGUAAGAAGGGUGCAGGUCUCCCCUUUCUAGCUUGUCUUGGGCCGCUGGCACUUGCUGGGCAAAGAGACCACCCUCUACUGAGGGGAUGGAGGUCUCUCCUUUUCAGUGCUCUUGGCUCUGGCCCAUUGAAAUGCCCCUGGCUUAAGGACCACCCUGUAAGGAGGGUUUGGGUCUCCUUCGCCAGGCUUAUUUAGCCACAGGUCACCUUAACACGCCAGGCAAAAGACUGCCCUGUAACCAGGGUUUAAGGUCUUAUCCCUCUCGUUCUUAAACUAGGAGAGCCUCUUUGUGCCUGUGGCCGAGUGACCCCCCUGUAAGAAGGGUUGAGGUUCUACUUCUGUUAGUCGCAGGAAAUUCCCCUAGAGUGAUUUCUAUUUGGCUUUUUUGGGCUUUGACGUGAAAUCUUAUUUGUGACCCGUGUAGUUCCUCUCCGGGUCACAUGUAACCUGGUGUGGCGAAGGGGCGGCUGUAAGGGGAUGGUGGAGGCCGUGAAAAAUUCGACCCUUCUUUCCCAGAGAGCCAAGAAAUCGUCCCAAAUUCCGUAUGUCACAAAGUCUGGAACUGAACAGGUGAGGAAGGGGGCUCCUUUCAGAGCCUCACUUCCAUGCAAUCCUUCCUCAUUUCCUCUUGCCCUGCCCAACUGACACUGCCCAAUCAACCUCAGCUUUGAGCCCUUGUUUGACUCGGCACAAGAAAGACAUGGCUGCACGUAUCAUUGUUAGUGGUAUAGAUUCGGAGAGCUGUGUACGUUGUGUCCCAUUUCCAGGCCUUUUGUUUCUCGGGUGAUAGACCCAGGCUAUUCCUAGGGCUGUGUUUGAAGUGAUUGAUGUGGCUGUCCUUUCGGAAAUGUGCUGAUGCUCAGCUGGGGUAGGUACGUGGCAUGGUAUUCAGAGCUUGCACGUGGGUGCACCUAACCCUACUAACAGGACUGUGUCACAAGUAAGGGGUGUCUUUUUUGGUCACGGUCAGGGGGCACAAAGUUGAAAUUUUCUUGGUGGGGUAGGAAGGUAAGUCGGGAAGGGUGUUGCCGAGGAAUGGAGGAUUUAAUGGUAAUGGGAGACUCAGCGGGAUUCCUCCCUUACCUGUUCAUUUCCAGAUCUUUUCCCAUUGGGGACUUUCCUCCCCUUCUUUAAAGGAGGACUAUUUUUCUAAAGAAAGGGUGACCGCCCUAUACUCAGGGAUCAGGUCUGUUUCCCUUUUCUCCUCUCGGCAUUGGCCCUCUUAAUGCCAAAGUUACUGGCUGGGCAAAGAGACCCUCCUCUACCGAGGGAAUGGAGGUCUCUCCUUUUCCGCGCUCUUGGCAAUGGCCCAUUGAAAUGUCCCUGGCUUAAGGACCACCCUGUAAGGAGGGUUUGGGUCUCCUUCGCCAUGCUUAUGGCGCCACGGGUCACUUUGACACGCCAGGCAAAAGGACUGCCCUGUAACCAGGGUGUAAGGUCUUACCCCUCUCAUUCUUGAACGAGGAGAGCCUUUUUGUGCCUGUGGCUGAGUGACCCCCCUGUAAGAAGGGUCGAGGUCACUCUGGCUUUCUAUUAUUUAGGACCCAGCCUUUGCAAUGCCCUGUGCCAUUGACCUCUCCCUGUAAGAAGGGUGCAGGUCUCCCAUUUCUAGCUUGUCUUGGGCCGCUGGCACUUGCUGGGCAAAGAGACCACCCUCUACCGAGGGAAUGGAGGUCUCUCCUUUUCCGCGCUCUUGGCAAUGGCCCAUUGAAAUGUCCCUGGCUUAAGGACCACCCUGUAAGGAGGGUUUGGGUCUCCUUCGCCAUGCUUAUGGCGCCACGGGUCACUUUGACACGCCAGGCAAAAGGACUGCCCUGUAUCCAGGGUGUAAGGUCUUACCCCUCUCAUUCUUGAACGAGGAGAGCUUUUUUGUGCCUGUGGCUGAGUGACCCCCCUGUAAGAAGGGUCGAGGUCACUCUGGCUUUCUAUUAUUUAGGACCCAGCCUUUGCAAUGCCCUGUGCCAUUGACCUCUCCCUGUAAGAAGGGUGCAGGUCUCCCAUUUCUAGCUUGUCUUGGGCCGCUGGCACUUGCUGGGCAAAGAGACCACCCUCUACCGAGGGAAUGGAGGUCUCUCCUUUUCCGCGCUCUUGGCAAUGGCCCAUUGAAAUGUCCCUGGCUUAAGGACCACCCUGUAAGGAGGGUUUGGGUCUCCUUCGCCAUGCUUUUGGCGCCACGGGUCACUUUGACACGCCAGGCAAAAGGACUGCCCUGUAACCAGGGUGUAAGGUCCUAUUCCUCUCGUUCUUAAACUAGGAGCACCUCUUUGUGCCUGUGGCUGACUGACCCCCCCUUUAAGAAGGGUUGAGGUUCUACUUCUGUUAGUCACUGUAAAUUGCACUAGAAUGAUUUCUACUUGGCUUUUCUGGGUUCUGAAGUGAAAUCUCAUUUGUGUCCCAUGUGUUUCCUGUUCGGGUCACAUGGAACCUGGUGUGGCGAAGGGGCGGCUGUAAGGGGAUGGUGGAGGCCGUGAAAAAUUCAACCCUUUCUUCAAAAAAGCCAAGAAAUCACCAAAGUCCAAAGUGAGCUCCCUCUAACUAGGGUGUAGGUCUUUCCCUCACUUUCCCAAGAUUACACUCCCCUUUGAAAGCUAGUUACAGAAACCAGCCUCUUGAGAGAGUUAAGGGUUUGCCCUUGUAGCUGCCCUGAGCCCGUGGCCUCCUCACGCUCUCAGCCAAGUCAAAGCCCGGCGUACUCUGCAUCCAGCUGGCCCUGACUUCUGCUGCAAGCUCUCCUGCCUUCUGCUACGGAUUGGUGCCGAAACCUAGGAAUUGGGCAACUCAAAGGACAAAAUGAAGACCACGACAGAAGAAAC